UACAGAGACUGCAAGCGUUAUUCGGAUUCACUGGGCGUAAAGGGUGCGCAGGCGGCCGUAUGUGUGAGGCGUGAAAGCCCGGGGCUUAACCCCGGAAUUGCACCUCAAACUAUACGGCUAGAGCAUUGGAGAGGGUAGCAGAAUUCAUGGUGUAGCAGUGAAAUGCGUAGAUAUCAUGAGGAAUACCAGAGGCGAAGGCGGCUACCUGGACAAUUGCUGACGCUCAGGCACGAAAGCGUGGGGAGCAAAAGGG
rnacentral:rRNA from 1 species